rnacentral:rRNA from 1 species
UACGUAGGGUGCGAGCGUUAAUCGGAAUUACUGGGCGUAAAGGGUGCGCAGGCGGUCCUGCAAGUCAGGCGUGAAAUCCCCGGGCUUAACCUGGGAAUGGCACUUGAAACUACGGGACUGGAGUAUGGCAGAGGGAGGUGGAAUUCCACGUGUAGCGGUGAAAUGCGUAGAGAUGUGGAGGAACACCGAUGGCGAAGGCAGCCUCCUGGGCCAAUACUGACGCUCAUGCACGAAAGCGUGGGGAGCGAACAGG